rnacentral:rRNA from 1 species
UGAGGAAUAUUGGGCAAUGCCCGCAAGGGUGACCCAGCAACGCCGCGUGGAGGAUGAAUGUCGUAAGAUUGUAAACUCCUGUUAGAGGGGAAGAAUAGUACCGGUUGGACCGGUAUAUGACUGUACCCUCAGAGAAAGCCCCGGCUAACUACGUGCCAGCAGCCGCGGUAAUACGUAGGGGGCAAGCGUUGUCCGGAUUUACUGGGCGUAAAGCGCACGCAGGCGGCUCUGUUAGUCGGACGUGAAAGCUCUCGGCUUAACCGGGAGAGGCCGUUCGAUACUGCGGGGCUUGAGGUAGGGAGAGGAAUGCGGAAUUCCCGGUGUAGUGGUGGAAUGCGUAGAUAUCGGGAGGAACACCUGUGGCGAAAGCGGCAUUCUGACCCUCACCUGACGCUGAGGUGCGAAAGCGUGGGUAGCAAACA